GGUACCUUUAAUGAAUGUCCCGAGAGGCUUCAAAGGUAAGGAGUAAGGCACGGGUAUACCUAUGUACCGAUGCUGUGAUCUCUUUGCUUAUUGAAGCAAAGAGAUUUUUUUAU
rfam:Salimicrobium jeotgali strain MJ3 Contig7, whole genome shotgun sequence.